AGCCAGCUCUGGUCUACAGAGCGAGUUCCUGUACAGCCAGGGCUACAUAGAGAAACCCUGUCUGGAAAAACCAGAAGGGAAAAAAGGACUCCACAAACAAAGCAUUAUGACCUCAUCAGAGCAAAUAGCCUGCUAGGUAAGAUACUCAGGAGGGAGAAAGGUGGUCACAGGAAUUUUGGUGUCGCUUACAGUAGAACUAACGUCCAGUCUUAGCUCCACAUGUGUUCAAAGGACCUUUGCAGCAGGAAAAAAGAAAAAAAAAAGAAAUUACACACCUAGAGUUUUGGAGGCACACUGCGACUCCCAGCACCUUCACAGGACAGUCCUGGACGCGUGCUGCGCCUUCUACAGAUGCCGAGGGACAACUGUGAUGAGUGAAUCACGCUGAUCCACGCGGACAUUCUGAUCUGUGUCACAUCAGUCAAAGCGAGACAGCCAGAUAUUGCGUGCCUUCUGGAGACAGUACAAGAG